rnacentral:rRNA from 1 species
UACAUAGGGUGCGAGCGUUAAUCGGAAUUACUGGGCGUAAAGGGUGCGCAGGCGGUCUCGUAAGCUGGGUGUGAAAGCCCCGGGCUUAACCUGGGAAUGGCAUUCAGGACUGCGAGGCUUUGAGUGCGGCAGAGGGAGGUGGAAUUCCACGUGUAGCAGUGAAAUGCGUAGAGAUGUGGAGGAACACCGAUGGCGAAGGCAGCCUCCUGGGCCAGCACUGACGCUCAUGCACGAAAGCGUGGGGAGCAAACAGG